GAUGACCGCUAGCGGCAGGCUUAACCCAUGCAAGUCGAGGGGUAGAAGUCUUCGGACUUUGAGACCGGCGCACGGGUGCGUAACGUGUAUGCAAUCUGCCUUGUACAAAGGGAUAGCCCAGAGAAAUUUGGAUUAAUACCUUAUAGUAUAUAGAUGUGGCAGCACAAUUAUAUUAAAGAUUUAUCGGUACAAGAUGAGCAUGCGUCUCAUUAGCUAGUUGGUAUGGUCACGGCAUACCAAGGCAAUGAUGGGUAGGGGUCCUGAGAGGGCGAUCCCCCACACUGGGACGGAGGCACGGACCAGACUCCUACGUGAGGCAGCAGUGAGUAAUGUUGGUCAAUGGGAGCAGACCUGAACCAGCCAUGCCGGGGGCAGAAUGAAGCAUCUAUGGUGUGUAAACUGCUUUGGUACGGGAAGAAACACCGCUUCGUGAAGAGGCUUGACGGUACCGUAAGAAUAAGGAUCGGCUAACUCCGUGCCAGCAGCCGCGGUAA
rnacentral:rRNA from 1 species